AGAAGCACGCAUAAACCUUGUUCGCCGCUGCCCAUGCCACGAUAGUGUGGGUGGAUCAGACAAGACACACGCUCACCACGACAGAUCCCACCCUCGCACUCGCUGCAUCACGCGCACACCUCUCCGGCGAUUGCGAUAAGACGACCUGUAGGGCUCAUUUCUGCGAUAACCGCCCCGAAGGACGCUUCAAUGGACAGCAUCGUCUCCCUCCCCGCUGCAUCUGACUGCGCGGAUCCGCUGCUAGCGCGGCUGCAGGACAGUUACACGCGACAGAAGCGUCAGAUCGCGGCACAGAAGCGCAAGCAGGUGGAUGCCGAACUCCAGGCUGCCGCGGCGCACUGCAGCGACCUGCCUGUUACUCUAGAGCUUCUCUCUGACGGAACAGCGUCCCUCUUCGAUGAGCUGGAGCGGUUGCUGGAGGCCCGCCGUGAGCAGUGGAACACUCCUAGUCGGGAGCUGGCCCUGCUACAGCACAUUCGGCUACAAACGAACCGGGAGCUGCGCGAGUGUAUGUCGUUCAUUGAGGAGGGCUACACAUCCGGGUUUGAGAAGCUGCUGCGCGAAAGCCGGCUUGAUGGACGGAAAUCAGCGCUCCCCGAGACAGCCGUGUCCUUGUCGCCCGCGACAAGCACGUUAAACAAUGUGCAGCAAGCAAAGGCCGCAUCGGUGGGGCCAUCGGUGACGCCGGUGGAUGCGCCUUCGCAUCUCUCGGUGAGGGAGGCGCUCUCAGAAUCCAUCAGUCUUAUGGCGGAAUCUUUGGCAGUGCUGCUGCAGUGCGAAGUGGUGCGAGUGUACCUGUACGACACCAACGCGCAUCUCAAGUGCGUCGCGCAGUUCCCUUACCGUGCCCAGCGCGCCGACCCGAUGCACUCGAGCUAUCUCGCCCUGAUGGCUGUGCGCGAGGUUCAUCACAUUGUGUGCCAAGAGCGCCUGGUUAUCAACGGCUGGCUCAGCAAAUCGCAGAGCGCCAACGACGGCAGCGGCAGAGCUGCCGCCGCGCACAACGUUGGAAGCAGCACCGCAGCAAGCGGGCUCGAGGACAUUCGAACCUGUCUGCUGUUGCCCAUCUUCUCCCCGGAAGGGGCGGGAAAGCCGUACGGACUGGUACACGCGGUCAACAAACAGUAUCCCACCGCCCUCGGUGCCGCGACCGACGACUCGACGGAGGUCGCGCACGUCGGCUUCACUGCAGACGACGAGACGCUGGCAUCGAGCGUCGCGCGCGUACUCGGAACCAUCCUCCACCGCUACCCUGUCGAGCUCUUCUUCGCCUCUGGCACGGGUGAGAAGCUACGUCGGAGCGCUUUUCCUCGCGAUGCCGAGGUGUUAAGCCUAACGGCGCAUCUGCCGCCCAUCCUGCAGGACGAAGUUCAGGAUGCCGCGGAGGUCGCUCAGCUUGCCUUGUCCCACCUCACGCCCAUUCUCGCGCAUCGAGUGCCCAUGGAUGCCAUUUACGAGGCUCGUACCGCGGCCGGGGAAGGGCGGCGGCGUAAGCUGGCCGUCAUCGGACCCCGCGAAGGCGCGGUUUCCUCCGUAGAAUUCAAUCUGCGCUGCAUGAAGGAGCUGUGGGAGAGCAGCCGGGAUGACAACGUGACGCUGCACAAGCAAUGCCGCACCUUGCAAGAGCAGGUGCACGCCAUGCGACUGCUCUUGCGCAAUGUGCUGGACGGGCUGGCUGUCGCGCGCGCGAUGCAGCUUAGCACUGACGUGGCACAGUUCCUCCACAACCUUGAGAUGUACGGGCGGACAGAGCGGACAGAGCGCAUGGCGGAGUACGUGUCGGAGAAGAUGCUAGCCAUCCCCGAUAACACCGUCGGCGGACCUGGUGCCGCGGACGCGCGCGCGAAGGCUCCCAGCUUGGAAGCGGACACGAAUGCGACGCAAUACCACAUGCGCGGCAGCGACUUACAGACUCUUCAAAAUCAUCACGCUCGCCUCAACACAGUGACACCCGCCUCACUGCACUUUGACGGGCCCAGCGGCGUCCGCAGCUACACUUCCGAUCCAGCGCAGAAGCGUGAGCAGGUGCGCUUCAUCGACGAGCUGUGCCGCCUUGCCCGGGACGAGAAGCCCUCGCUGCCGUUAGCGCGCGGAGGAGGUGGCCGACGGCAGGUACUGCCCAGCACCCUUCCUACUGUUACUCGUGCAAAGGCGGCGAGAGGAUCAAAGCCCGCGGUAAAGCAGGAUCCGUACCCAUUUGGACGCCCUUUCAAGCUGUGAGCGAGCGAGUGAGAGAGAGAGAGGCGACGCCGGUGUCGACAAAUGCGUGGUGCGCAGGUAGGCGAUCGCACGAGUACGUGCCAUGGACCCGAAGUCGACAUCCGGCCGCGACAGCGAUGCGGCAGCGAGCGCAAUCGCUGGCCGGACACUCCAGAGCCCACUCAUCUCUCAUUCUCUCCGUGUGUGUGAUCUGCUAUCAUGUACAUUAGACCGCAUACAGUGCAUGCGGUGUGGAGGCUGUGUGCGGGCGUGUCGGCGUGAUUUUGUCUCUGACGCGCACACGCACCUCACACUUUUGUUGUUUCUUCCUCUUUGUCUGUUUUACGUGUGCGAUCAUCGCCUGACUGGGCGUCCUGUCUCUGCGGCUUGCAUGGACACUG
rnacentral:misc_RNA from 1 species